rnacentral:misc_RNA from 1 species
CCUCCUUAUACGAUUUAGAACUUAUUUGUUCGUAGUGUCCACACAGAUGAUUGUUAGUUAGUUUUACCCUUUGGGUUAACUAAUUAAUAUGCUCUUUAAAAAUUUGGAAAAGCUGAUAAUAAAAUUCGUAUGAAUGACAUUUGUUAUUUGUACAGAGUUUUCAAAAGUAAAAAAGAAUGAUAGCAGUAUCAUUCAGUGCCAAUUUAAUCUUCGGAUUAAUUGGUAUCUACUUUAGUAUUCAAUAUUAACUUCUGGCGAAGUUAAACUGUCACGAAACAAAGACCCGUUUGGGUUGUAUGGUUAAGUGACUAAGCGUACACGGUGG